CCUACGGGUGGCUGCAGUGAGGAAUAUUGGUCAAUGGGCGCGAGCCUGAACCAGCCAAGUCGCGUGAGGGAAGACGGUCCUAUGGAUUGUAAACCUCUUUUGUCGGGGAGCAAAAGACGCCACGCGUGGCGUUCCGAGCGUACCCGAAGAAAAAGCAUCGGCUCACUCCGUGCCAGCAGCCGCGGUAAUACGGAGGAUGCGAGCGUUCUCCGGAUUUAUGGGGUUUAAAGGGUGCGCAGGCGGAAGAUCAAGUCAGCGGUAAAAUUGCGAGGUUCAACCUCUGCGAGCCGGUGAAACUGGUUGUCUUGAGUGAGCGAGAAGUAUGCGGUAUGCGUGGUGUAGCGGUGAAAUGCAUAGAUAUCACGCAGAACUCCGAUUGCGAAGGCAGCAUACCGGCGCUCAACUGACGCUCAUGCACGAAAGUGUGGGUAGCGAACAGGAUUAGAUACCCCUGUAGUC
rnacentral:rRNA from 1 species